GGGUCUUGACUGUGACCUUUAGGUGGCUCCAGCUGACAGACUCGGGGAAAUACUGGUGUGCAGUGAAAAGGCUUGGUUUUGAUACAUAUAUUGCAGUAUACCUAACUGUAAAAAGAGCUGUUGUCAAUGAGACAACAACCGUCAAACCUGGACUUUUCAACACGUAUCAGACUACUUACAAUUCAACACAACAAACAUCUGGAAUAGACACGAACAUUUCAACAGCCUCUAACUGCACUACUGGAGGAGAACAAAACAGCAGCACAGGCACAGUGCUGUUCUGUACAGUCGGGGGUGUCGUUAUGAUUACCAUCUUGGUCCUGGCUGUGUGGUUGAGGAAACGGAGAAAAGGAUCAAAACACCAACCACAAGUUUGCUCAAACAGCACAGGACUCAUCGGUGUACGCAGAAGAGAGGAGGACAGCAAACAUGCAAAGAUUGGAGAGGGGAUGCAGUCGACGAAAAUACUCUCCAAGAGUCCCUCGUUUACUCACAAACCAAAACAGGAUCCACCAGAAGUGGAGCUCAUACCAGCCAAGUUUAGUGACCCCUUUCAAAUCUAUGAAAACAUCUGCUGCUCAAAAGGUGCUGCACAUUCCAGACACGCAACUGCAAACCUGCCAGAGGAGCAAGACAGCGGCUCCAGGAUCUACAUCAACCCUUUGCCACAUCCAAUAUCUGACAAAGCAGUUGAUGGCGCUCUGGGAAAACACAGAAAUAAACCCACAACUAGGACAACCAAACCUCCACAGGGAUGUACAAGCGAAGCCGCCGCGUGUCAUUCCACAUCUUUGUGUGAUUCCACAGAAACGAGGCCCAGAUCUCUUUGGUUUGGUUUGGAUUUAUCAGGAACAGUCUGAGUUGAUUUUUAUUUACAAUAAGUAACCACUGAAUUUUACCAACCACUCUUCUUCUUUUCAGUUUCUGAAACAUUAAUGUUUUUUGUUAUUUUUUAUUUCAAUACAUGUGGCUUGUCUGCAGAGGCACUGAAUCUCAUAUUGUGUACGAAAAGGUUUUAAGGACAUAACUGUUAAUGUUGUUUCUUUUAUUAAUUCAUUAUGUGAACAUGUAGAAACCUCGUGACAUAGACAACAAUGUAUCAGUGUGGUAUCCAAUGACUAAGAGCAGUAACUCAAGAGACUGAGAGGUUGAGGAAAAGACUUGAAGUUAGCUCAUCUUUAUAACAAUCAUCGAACCUUAACUGGCUUUUUAGGCUUUGAAGGUUUUUCUUCACUGAAUUAACACCAACAAUACUUAAUAAGAAAGUAUGAUCUUCUUUUCUGGAUUUCUCUUGUACAUUUGACUAAAUUAGCAACUUGAGUAGAUUAACCUCUUAAUCAAAUGCUUAGAAUUAACAGAUGUCGCCCUUGAACACCAGCAUGAAACCAAAACAACUCGCGCUGCAUUGUUGUGUUAGCAUGCUUUAUUAUG